AAAGAAGCGAAUUUGAUUAAAUUGUAUGACUGAUUUAGUCGAACGCAGAUAAUAUGGAGUAAUUCAUUUAACGUUGGAAGUCCAUUAGACUCCAAAUUAUUUAAUUGAAACAAAAUUUGUUGCUCCGAUCCUUGCAAAGCCCACAAUGAUUUUCAAUUAAAGAAGGCCUUCCCAAAUGAUUACAAAAGUUGAGGGAUGAUGUGAGUUUUUUUGUCUUUUUUUUUUGUUUUACUUCCUCAUAUUUGCUGUACAUGUCAUUAAUUAACUCUAAUUUGAUGAGGAAAAACUACCCAAUCUGUUGUUUGUUUUCCUGGUGGAGGUGAUUUUGUCCUUCAAUUACUCCACAAUCUCAAAACACAAAUCAAAAUAGUAGAAUCAAAUUUAUUUAUCUCAGCUUGUAGCUUCAGAUAUGCUGUGAAGUUUGGGAUGCCAUGUUCUUGGUUUUGCACCAGUUGAACUCCUAUGCUUUUCUUGUUUCACCUGUUUGGAGUUAUCAAAAUCAGAUCUUCUAAUAACUCCAUUAUUAGAGUGUGAAUUCGUUGAUUUCUCCCUACUCCUGUCACCGGAUUCUAAUUGCUGCUGCUUCAUCUUCGAAUAUUUCUUAGCCCAUAAUCCUUUCAUCACCUCUUGAGUAGUAAUUAAUCUGUAAACAUGACCCAGAACAAGCGUAUCCGUCGGUUUGAGAAGCUUAAUACGCGUUAUACGAACUGGCAUAGUAUUAGUUCCACUAGUAUUACUCGUCGCGCUGUCCGUUUUUUUGGCGGUGGAAGCGGUGGCGGAAGAAGGAUUAGUGGGCGGACACAAGGUGGUGGUGGUAAGAAGAAGAGCAACAUAAUGACCUGGAUUCAUCUUCAUGAUUUCAUUAGCAGUAACAGGCCAAUAGAGUUUAUCAACUCUACCGCUUGGGUGUUGUAUAAGCAAAGUGGCAUUAUCAAUGGCUUGGCAGUUGCCCAUUCUCUCUCAAUUUACUGAAAGCCCUUUU
rnacentral:misc_RNA from 1 species